UUAAUUUGUGGUUCCACAUUUGCAACGUCUUAUGAUAUUUUUGAGAUGCUAUAAUAACCACAACCAUUUUCCAUAAACAAUCAUUACAUCGUAGCUGGAGAUGUGAGGCCUGAAUUUUGAUACAACAUAACUAUACAUGCAUCCCCUAAUGUCAUGAUCAUAUUUUAGUUCGUUGAGAUUUUCCAAUAAUUAUAAAGUGUCAAUAUGGAUAAACUUA
rnacentral:lncRNA from 1 species